UCUCCCUGUAUUCUAUUAUAAGAAGGAUAAUCGAGGAGACUGCUAUAGAGUCCGCUUAAACUCCACUUAGAGACUUAUAUAGCGUAUUCGCAUGCGUCUCAUAUUAAAUAACCAACAGUUUGUACUGGAAGUGACAGUUGGGCGCAGUUCACGACAGUUAUCAAGAUGAACAACACAUGGAGAGAUCGAGACCGGGAUUUUCAGAAACAUCUUCCGGGGGGUGAAACGACAGGCUCUCAAUUACACGAUGUCUUGAGCAAAACUGAAACAGAAUUGAGACCAAUACCUGGUUUCGAUGAGAACGUCGACGAUAGAAACUAUUAUCGCCUGCAACAUGACAUCGAUUGCGAUGAGGUUUAUCCAAAUAUCAUUCUUGGAGAUGCGAGUACCGCUAAAAAUAAAAAGUUUCUGAAAAGGUUGGGCGUGACUCACGUACUUAAUACAGCUGAAGGAAAUCGAUUUGGUCUUGUGAAUACUAAUAGACACUAUUAUAGUGACACAUCGAUAGAAUACCUUGGGUUACCGAUUAUAGAUUUGCCUACCAUUGACAUUAGUCAAUAUUUUCCUGCAGCAGUAUCAUUUAUUCAUAAUGCUCUUUCUUCUGGAGGCAAAGUGUUCGUCCACUGUAUGUUGGGAAUAUCUCGCAGUGCAACAUGUGUCAUUGCAUAUUUGAUGACCAAAAAAGAAAUGCUAGCAGUCGACGCAAUUCAGUUGGUCCGUACGAACCGUUGCAUCAAUCCCAAUCAAGGUUUCUUGCGGCAACUUGCAAACCUGGAUAAUCGGCUACGUCGAGAACGCCUGUAAUUAGAAGAAUUAUAAUACUUUUGAACUCAUCUAUCUAUGUGAUCAAAAUGGAACAAAGCGCUUCAAUCGACGUUGUGAAUAAAACAACAAAUCAGAUGAAAAAUUUAGCAAAGUUAACAUACGGAAAUAUCAAUCAAAAUAUAUUUAUUGUAAGAAUUUUAUUACUCACUUAAAAUAGAAAUAUUAAUCCUGAUAAUGUGCAAAUUGAAUAAAUAGUACAAAUAUGAAUACGUA